CUAAUUUUUUUUCCUUGCAACAAUCUAUGCUCUACUUGGAUGCCCCCUUUCGUAUGUGCUGUGGUACCGGCCUCUCUAUCGUGCUAUGAGGACAGACAGUGCCUUAAAUUUCAGCUGGUUUUUCUUGUUCUAUCUGCUUCAUAUCGGUUUUUGUAUUUUUGCUGCUAUUGCACCCCCAAUCGUCUGUCAUCGGAAGUCAUUGAAGU